rnacentral:lncRNA from 1 species
CGUCACUCAGAUAUGAGAUUUUGAUCUCAAUUAAUUUUUAGAUAUAAUCUAAAUAUGAAUUAGAUAUGAUCUAAUUAUCCUUAGAUACGUUCAGUAUAUGAUGAUUUUAGAUUUCAGAUGUACAUACAUGCAUAUUAGUUCAUGUCAUAGAUCCUAUAUGGUGAUUUGAAUUUGAUCAAAGUAUGUAUUAUAGAUUAAAUUAUUUAAUCUACAUAUGCU